rnacentral:rRNA from 1 species
GAUGAACGCUGGCGGCGUGCCUAAUACAUGCAAGUCGAGCGAACAGACGAGGAGCUUGCUCCUCUGACGUUAGCGGCGGACGGGUGAGUAACACGUGGAUAACCUACCUAUAAGACUGGGAUAACUUCGGGAAACCGGAGCUAAUACCGGAUAAUAUAUUGAACCGCAUGGUUCAAUAGUGAAAGACGGUUUUGCUGUCACUUAUAGAUGGAUCCGCGCCGCAUUAGCUAGUUGGUAAGGUAACGGCUUACCAAGGCAACGAUGCGUAGCCGACCUGAGAGGGUGAUCGGCCACACUGGAACUGAGACACGGUCCAGACUCCUACGGGAGGCAGCAGUAGGGAAUCUUCCGCAACGGGCGAAAGCUUGACGGAGCAACGCCGCGUGAGUGAUGAAGGUCUUCGGAUCGUAAAACUCUGUUAUUAGGGAAGAACAAAUGUGUAAGUAACUAUGCACGUCUUGACGGUACCUAAGCAGAAAGCCACGGCUAACUACGU